CUCACUCCGUGUUGGAGGCUGCAACAGGCAAGCUUAAAGGAAAACGAAAUGAACGCGUCACUCAAAGUCUGCAAACAGGGGCAAACAUCAAGCGCUGUCACAUUUAUUGUGCCUUGUACCUCCAAUGGCUAGCUAGCUCUUGUCAUAUAAGCAUCACAUGUCUGCUGUCCCUCACCGCAGCCCCAUAACGGUGUCUGGUGCGAACUAUACAGUCUAUACAGAAUUUUUUUAAAGUAAGCUUUGCUAUUUGAUAGAAAUCAUUCAUGGGCAUUUUCAAAAGUCAUCCAUGCAUGCUGGACACCAAAAUGCUGAUACAAUAGCAUAACUGUAAGGGGGAGAGCACCGUUCCACUCUCUGGCUACACAUGGAAACAAAACAUUGUAUUCUUCCCUGGGCUAUUGGACUAUCUUAAUGUUGACUAGAUGUUAAUGGCAUACUUACUCAAUCGGUUGAUUUACUGCGUUAUCCAUGAGGAGUUUGAUUCUGGUAAUCACACGCAAUUUAAAAACCAGCAAGGCAGCAUCUCAGCGUCGCUGUAGCCAUCGCAUGAAAAUCCCAGUGUUUCCAAGUCCCCUUAAAACAUCAACAUAUAUAUAUAUAUAUUGUUUUAAGAUGGAGCGAUAAAGACAAACGCUGAAAGAAGAGAUGGACGGACUUGUCGCCCACACGCUGGCUUGCUCCGUUAUUUUGUCCAAGCGCGUUCAAAAUCCACUGAGAGCAGUUCGAAUCGAUGAGAUACGUGCUUGAUUGGGUAUCCCUUGUUGUAAUAAUGUACAUCAGAAGGAGGGGAUGGACUCGUGCUGUGCCUCAGCUGCUCUGAGAGCAUGGAUCAGCAGCUAUUGCCAAACACUUUCUUGGCUGCUAAUAGCACUUUUCCCCCUUCUUUGUGUGGCUGAUAGCAGCUAUUUAAAACGACAACAGCGAAUCAGACGAGUCUUCCUUACUGCAAGAUCCCUUCCUCUGUUCAAAUCAUCUUCAAGAUCGAAGACAAUUGGUCCGCUGUCUGCUGCAAAGGUUAUGACUGUGGGCGCAAAUUGUUUUCUCGAAAACCAGAACACGGUCCAAUGGUCAGGGGAGGUCACUGCCUCUCUCUGUGUGCCAGUAACAGACACAAACGGUUAACAACCUGGCACAGCAUCAAAGAGCCAAGGUACUUUUGCCGACUCAUUCUGCAGUAGAAUGAGAGGAAACACCGAAACACCCUUUCGACACAACCUCUGAAAAGGGCUACACGGCUCCACUGCCAGCACUCGAUUGGAAGCAGUUCGUGGCGAUGUCGCAGCGUUGUCGGGGUGAGCCGUAAUGUAUAGUGCUGCAAACAAGAAGGAUUGCAGGAUCCCUGCCUCCCAGCCCGUGGGAGCCCGCGGUGACGCCGGAGCUCAGGUAUAUGGAUGGCCUGAGGAGGUCUCCAUCAUUCAUAAAACAUGCCUCCGUACGCGGCCGAAUUGAUCUUGCAAAAGAAGCAGGGUGGCACAGCUACCACUUCAUUAGUCUUCUCGUGCCACAAAUCACCCUGCACUAGCCUCCAAGGGACCGCAGCCACCCCCGCCGCCACCCUCACCUCAGCUCUCCUCUCCUUAAAGGCCCGGGGAAAAGGGUGCCGGUUAGAUAACAACACCAUGAUAGCAGUGUUAUAACAGCUUGUUAGCAUUGUGUUGAUGUUAGCUCAACAUCAGAGUGAUGGUGCAACGCAGGCAUGGUGAAGGUCUAGCACUGAAUUAGGAAUGAGCUCAGAUCAAGAAGGAGGCGACAUCAGAGCAGCCAGAGCAAAACAAAGUAGAAAACGCUGAAAAGCACAUGAAUCUUGUCAAUGCUAAUUGAUAGCUAGUGGUCAUUUUGAGAUUCCCGGAUUAAAUCAAGUCUCCAUAAAACAAUGUGAAAUAUUGAUGACAUUUACUUUCCAUGGUUCUGAAAUGAAUUGCCCCAUUCCUCUACUAUUUCUGAUGAAUGUUUUUUAUUGCCUUUUUUUGUUGUUGCUGGAGCUGCUUGAGAGAAUUGAGCGUGGCCUUUUCUGCAAAUGUUUCCAGCUCACCAGAGAAACCCUGGAGGACACAACCGUCCAAUUGGCCGUAAUGUUAGUUCCUCUUUGCUUCCCGCUGAAUUUGCUCGCUAAGAUGCAAUUAUAUGAGCAAAAUUAAUAAACCGUAAAGUAUAAGAAUCUACGUCCCGUUUUUUUAUGUUUACCGAUGACAUUGGUUGACAUUAAUAUCGUCAUUAAAGCAAUUAUAUGUGAUGAAGGUAAAUAGUCAAACUUAAUUAGUAAAAGCAUGUUUUCUAUCAAAUUGUCUGUUACACACCUGCAGUGUAUACAGCAGCCUGAUCACUAGAAAAAUACUUUGAUUUUCGAACAUUUGAAAUGGUCUUGAGAACGUCGAUACAGUAUAUGCCUUUGUAGUGUGGUAAUAUUUCAUAUGUGUAUACAGUAUACCUCACAUGUGAGCCGUAAUAAGACUAAGCAAUUAGCCUAUUCAAAUGAUCAUCUGACUCCAUAAAGAUUAUUUAGCAAUAUGCAAGAGACUACAGUUGAAACUGGAAACACUUAUCUUCCUCACUAUCUUUAAGCACCAACUGUCAGAGCAGCUCACAGAAUACUGCACCUGUACAUAGCCCACCUAUAAUUUAGCCCAAACAAC